rnacentral:rRNA from 1 species
UAGGGAAUCUUCCGCAAUGGACGCAAGUCUGACGGAGCAACGCCGCGUGAGUGAAGAAGGAUUUCGGUUCGUAAAACUCUGUUGUUAGAGAAGAACAGCGCAUAGAGUAACUGUUAUGCGUGUGACGGUAUCUAACCAGAAAGCCACGGCUAACUACGUGCCAGCAGCCGCGGUAAUACGUAGGUGGCAAGCGUUGUCCGGAUUUAUUGGGCGUAAAGCGAGCGCAGGCGGUUAGAUAAGUCUGAAGUUAAAGGCAGUGGCUCAACCAUUGUAGGCUUUGGAAACUGUUUAACUUGAGUGCAGAAGGGGAGAGUGGAAUUCCAUGUGUAGCGGUGAAAUGCGUAGAUAUAUGGAGGAACACCAGUGGCGAAGGCGACUCUCUGGUCUGUAACUGACGCUGAGGUUCGAAAGCGUGGGUAGCAAACAGG